GGUACUCCAAUGGGGCGGCUCACUAGUCAGAUUUGCCAUCAACCCCCGCACUUCGUCCCUUGCGUUGGCUGUUGGCUCCACCUUCCACGGCUCCUCAGUUGCUAAAAACGCUAGAACCAACACAACCGCUAGAUCAUGCAGCACCUUCCCUUUGCCCUUCCACUUCUCGAUUCAUAAACGGCUCGGCCUCCCCCGCUCCUUCUUAUAGGUUCGCCCUACUUGCCUUGGUCUUCCCCUCCCCGUGAUUGUCACUUUGUCUCCGUUCCGGCUAUAUGGUAGCUACGCGGCCGCUGGGGAGGUCGGUUACGGCCGGUUCUAGCAGAAUCAGACUAACCGCUGGAACACAUUGGUGCGAGUCGGGCAGGGCCUCAGCCAUGGCAUGGAAGGUUUUUUUGCAUGGAAGGAACACCCAUAUAGGAGUCUGCAGGACCACUGGGUCACCAUGUCAUCGAAUUCCAUUCUUCUUCUUUUGUGACACGGAGUCUGCAAUUCUGCACAUCACUCUUCUCUUAGUCUCCUAAAUAGUCAAGAUGCUUCUCCAUGCAAUGGAAACGAAUCAAUACGAUGAUUCUGGUCUGUAACUGCUGAGGUAGGCGAGCAGGCAACUCCUCCCUGUUGUACAUUCACCGGUCCAAGUUACCAACGCUACGUACUUUCAGUCUUUCAGACAGACUUCACAGAGAUGCUCUUCACUUGGACAUAAGAAUGUGGUAAUAGAGAUCAAUAUAUACACUUGGUUGUUGCUUAUCCAAGCAAUCGGUCCAAAAAACUAAGGAACACUUACCAAGUACUUCAGAUGCAAUUAACACUGAUGGUCAAGGAUAGUUAUCAUGUCUGAUGUGACAAUGGUAACUCAUCCAUCAUUUGUUUGUGAGGCACCACAACUAACAUGAUAAUUUUUCCACUGAUUUUUUGGAGAUGAUUUAGCAAAUUUAGUGUAAAGUUCAGUGAUACGUCUCCAACAUAUCCAUAACUUUUGAUUGUUCCAUGCUACUAUAUUAUCUGUUUUGGAUGUUUUAUAUGCAUUAAUAUGCUAUUUUAUAUGAUUUUUGGGACUAACCUAUUAACCUAGAGCCCAGUGCCAGUUUCUCUUUUUUCCUUGUUUUAGAGUUUCGCCGAAAAGCAAUACCAAACGGAGUCCAAACGGAAUAAAACUUUCGCCAUGAUUUUUCUUGGACCAGAAGACACCCAGGAGACUUGGAGUGCAAGUGAGAGGAGCCUCGAGGUGGCCACAAGGGUGGAGGGCGCGCCCAGGGGGGUGGGGCGCGCCCCCCGACCUUGUGGGCCACUCGUAGCUCCCCUGUCCUAAUUCGUUUGCCUAUAUAUACUCUUAUACCCCAAAAACAUCCAGGGGAGCCACGAAACCACUUUUCCACCGCCGCAACCUUCUGUACCUGUGAGAUCCCAUCUUGGGGUCUUUUCCGGCAUCCUGCCGAAGGGGGAAUCGAUUACGGUAGGCUUCUACAUCAACACCAUUGCCUCUCCGAUG